rnacentral:rRNA from 1 species
AGGACGAACGCUGGCGGUGUGCCUAAUACAUGCAAGUCGAACGGUCUUUCUAUGGAAGCUUGCUUCCGCUGAGAAGAUAGUGGCGAACGGGUGAGUAACACGUGGGUAACCUGCCCAUAAGAGGGGGGAUAACAUCCGGAAACGGGUGCUAAUACCGCAUAGUUUUCUUGAUCGCAUGAUCGGGAAAGAAAAGACGGCCUUUGUGCUGUCGCUUAUGGAUGGACCCGCGGCGUAUUAGUUAGUUGGUGAGGUAACGGCUCACCAAGACGAUGAUACGUAGCCGACCUGAGAGGGUGAUCGGCCACAUUGGGACUGAGACACGGCCCAAACUCCUACGGGAGGCAGCAGUAGGGAAUCUUCCGCAAUGGACGAAAGUCUGACGGAGCAACGCCGCGUGAGUGAAGAAAAGGUUUUCGGAUCGUAAAACUCUGUUGUCAGAGAAGAACAAGUUGGAGAGUAACUGCUCCAGCCUUGACGGUAUCUGACCAGAAAGCCACGGCUAACUACGUGCCAGCAGCCGC